rnacentral:rRNA from 1 species
GACGAACGCUGGCGGCGUGCUUAACACAUGCAAGUCGAACGGUAAGGCCCUUCGGGGUACACGAGUGGCGAACGGGUGAGUAACACGUGGGUGAUCUGCCCUGCACUUCGGGAUAAGCCUGGGAAACUGGGUCUAAUACCGGAUAGGACCACUGCCUGCAUGGGUGGUGGUGGAAAGCUUUUGCGGGGUGGGAUGGGCCCGCGGCCUAUCAGCUUGUUGGUGGGGUGAUGGGCUACCAAGGCGACGACGGGUAGCCGGCCUGAGAGGGUGAUCGGCCACACUGGGACUGAGAUACGGCCCAGACUCCUACGGGAGGCAGCAGUGGGGAAUAUUGCACAAUGGGCGCAAGCCUGAUGCAGCGACGCCGCGUGAGGGAUGACGGCCUUCGGGUUGUAAACCUCUUUCAGCACCGGCGAAGCGCAAGUGACGGUAGGUGCAGAAGAAGGACCGGCCAACUACGUGCCAGCAGCCGCAGUAA